UCCAAGGCUAAAUACUCCUGACUGACCGAUAGUGAACCAGUACCGUGAGGGAAAGGCGAAAAGAACCCCGGCGAGGGGAGUGAAAAAGAACCUGAAACCGUGUACGUACAAGCAGUGGGAGCACGCUUAGGCGUGUGACUGCGUACCUUUUGUAUAAUGGGUCAGCGACUUAUAUUCUGUAGCAAGGUUAACCGAAUAGGGGAGCCGAAGGGAAACCGAGUCUUAACUGGGCGUUAAGUUGCAGGGUAUAGACCCGAAACCCGGUGAUCUAGCCAUGGGCAGGUUGAAGGUUGGGUAACACUAACUGGAGGACCGAACCGACUAAUGUUGAAAAAUUAGCGGAUGACUUGUGGCUGGGGGUGAAAGGCCAAUCAAACCGGGAGAUAGCUGGUUCUCCCCGAAAGCUAUUUAGGUAGCGCCUCGUGAAUUCAUCUCCGGGGGUAGAGCACUGUUUCGGCAAGGGGGUCAUCCCGACUUACCAACCCGAUGCAAACUGCGAAUACCGGAGAAUGUUAUCACGGGAGACACACGGCGGGUGCUAACGUCCGUCGUGAAGAGGGAAACAACCCAGACCGCCAGCUAAGGUCCCAAAGUCAUGGUUAAGUGGGAAACGAUGUGGGAAGGCCCAGACAGCCAGGAUGUUGGCUUAGAAGCAGCCAUCAUUUAAAGAAAGCGUAAUAGCUCACUGGUCGAGUCGGCCUGCGCGGAAGAUGUAACGGGGCUAAACCAUGCACCGAAGCUGCGGCAGCGACACUAUGUGUUGUUGGGUAGGGGAGCGUUCUGUAAGCCUGUGAAGGUGUACUGUGAGGUAUGCUGGAGGUAUCAGAAGUGCGAAUGCUGACAUAAGUAACGAUAAAGCGGGUGAAAAGCCCGCUCGCCGGAAGACCAAGGGUUCCUGUCCAACGUUAAUCGGGGCAGGGUGAGUCGACCCCUAAGGCGAGGCCGAAAGGCGUAGUCGAUGGGAAACAGGUUAAUAUUCCUGUACUUGGUGUUACUGCGAAGGGGGGACGGAGAAGGCUAUGUUGGCCGGGCGACGGUUGUCCCGGUUUAAGCGUGUAGGCUGGUUUUCCAGGCAAAUCCGGAAAAUCAAGGCUGAGGCGUGAUGACGAGGCACUACGGUGCUGAAGCAACAAAUGCCCUGCUUCCAGGAAAAGCCUCUAAGCAUCAGGUAACAUCAAAUCGUACCCCAAACCGACACAGGUGGUCAGGUAGAGAAUACCAAGGCGCUUGAGAGAACUCGGGUGAAGGAACUAGGCAAAAUGGUGCCGUAACUUCGGGAGAAGGCACGCUGAUAUGUAGGUGAAGUCCCUCGCGGAUGGAGCUGAAAUCAGUCGAAGAUACCAGCUGGCUGCAACUGUUUAUUAAAAACACAGCACUGUGCAAACACGAAAGUGGACGUAUACGGUGUGACGCCUGCCCGGUGCCGGAAGGUUAAUUGAUGGGGUCAGCGCAAGCGAAGCUCUUGAUCGAAGCCCCGGUAAACGGCGGCCGUAACUAUAACGGUCCUAAGGUAGCGAAAUUCCUUGUCGGGUAAGUUCCGACCUGCACGAAUGGCGUAAUGAUGGCCAGGCUGUCUCCACCCGAGACUCAGUGAAAUUGAACUCGCUGUGAAGAUGCAGUGUACCCGCGGCAAGACGGAAAGACCCCGUGAACCUUUACUAUAGCUUGACACUGAACAUUGAGCCUUGAUGUGUAGGAUAGGUGGGAGGCUUUGAAGUGUGGACGCCAGUCUGCAUGGAGCCGACCUUGAAAUACCACCCUUUAAUGUUUGAUGUUCUAACGUGGACCCGUAAUCCGGGUUGCGGACAGUGUCUGGUGGGUAGUUUGACUGGGGCGGUCUCCUCCUAAAGAGUAACGGAGGAGCACGAAGGUUGGCUAAUCCUGGUCGGACAUCAGGAGGUUAGUGCAAUGGCAUAAGCCAGCUUGACUGCGAGCGUGACGGCGCGAGCAGGUGCGAAAGCAGGUCAUAGUGAUCCGGUGGUUCUGAAUGGAAGGGCCAUCGCUCAACGGAUAAAAGGUACUCCGGGGAUAACAGGCUGAUACCGCCCAAGAGUUCAUAUCGACGGCGGUGUUUGGCACCUCGAUGUCGGCUCAUCACAUCCUGGGGCUGAAGUAGGUCCCAAGGGUAUGGCUGUUCGCCAUUUAAAGUGGUACGCGAGCUGGGUUUAGAACGUCGUGAGACAGUUCGGUCCCUAUCUGCCGUGGGCGCUGGAGAACUGAGGGGGGCUGCUCCUAGUACGAGAGGACCGGAGUGGACGCAUCACUGGUGUUCGGGUUGUCAUGCCAAUGGCACUGCCCGGUAGCUAAAUGCGGAAGAGAUAAGUGCUGAAAGCAUCUAAGCACGAAACUUGCCCCGAGAUGAGUUCUCCCUGACUCCUUGAGAGUCCUGAAGGAACGUUGAAGACGACGACGUUGAUAGGCCGGGUGUGUAAGCGCAGCGAUGCGUUGAGCUAACCGGUACUAAUGAACCGUGAG
rnacentral:rRNA from 1 species